rnacentral:rRNA from 1 species
GACGAAGGGGGCUAGCGUUGCUCGGAAUGACUGGGCGUAAAGCGUGCGCAGGCGGUUGUGUAAGUCUGUCGUGAAAUCCCCGGGCUCAACCUGGGAAUUGCGAUGGAGACUGCACGGCUAGAGUGUGUCAGAGGGGGGUAGAAUUCCACGUGUAGCAGUGAAAUGCGUAGAUAUGUGGAGGAACACCGAUGGCGAAGGCAGCCCCCUGGGAUAACACUGACGCUCAUGCACGAAAGCGUGGGGAGCAAACAGG